UCAGGUCGAAGACUGCCAGUGACAACCAGCCAUAUAGAUCCAGCAAUUUAGUCUUACCAAUACCAAUCUAAUUCUUUCAUAAUGAGCGACCCUGAAUCUUCGCUAGUUUCAAUUAACGAGAGUCUUUCAUUCCAGUAUGAUAAGAAGUCAUUGCUAGGAACAGGGGCUAGUAGCACUGUUUACAAAGGUACUUUUAAAGAGGAAGAUGUUGCAGUGAAAAGAAUGAAAGAGGAAUUAUCUGAUGAAUAUAAAGAGCUCUUAUUAAAUAUUAAACAUGAAAAUAUUGUACUGGUACUUU